ensembl:lncRNA
AAUAAAUAACAUGCUAAAAGUGAGAUAUUAUGUAAAAAGUUAUUCAAGUUAUUGGUUUGUAGGCCAACCCAUUUCAGGCUGAAAUGGGUUUGUGGUUGACUGCCACUGUAUAUUCUGAUGAGCCACUAGCCUAUGCUAUCUCAGUUUCCUCUUAACAAAGAAAUAAAAUGUUAUUUUAACUUUUGUCAUUGCAGGUAUUGGCAAAGAUAGAGUAGCUCGAGUGGCAAGAUAUUAUGCAGAGAAUGCUGAGGCCAGACCAGAACGUAGGGGUGGUGCUCGCAAAGUUACAGAAAAUGAAGAAAAGAAGAAACUUGUGAUGGAUCACAUUCAAACAUUCACUUGUAGGGCAAGCCACUAUGGCAGAAGAGGAGCACCUGGGCGGAAAUACCUUCCCAGUGACCUCAGCGUAAAAAAAAUGCAUGAUUUGUUCAAGCAGCAAAAUCAUGAUGCUGUUAGCUACUCUCUCUAUUACAGUAUUUUCCGAUACAGUUUCAACCUUGCAUUUGGACAUCCAGCCACCGACGCGUGUUCUACAUGUGCAAAGUUUCAUCUCACAGUAAAGAACCCCAGCUUGCCCGAAGAGGAGAAGCGUACAGCAUCAGCAUCUUUCAUUUUGCAUCGCAGACGAGCAAGGGUGUUUUAUGAUUUGCUUGGGCAAAGUGACAAUGCAGCAUUGACAGUCUGCUUCGACAUGAUGCAGAAUCUGGUACUCCCAAAAACCCCCAUUGGUCAGGCGUACUACUCCCGCCAGCUCUACAUGUACAUCUUUGGUGUUGUUGUCCAUGCUGGGAAAGGCAGCAAGCAAAGCAAGGAUGACAUCCAUCUUUACACAUGGAUGGAACACGAGAACAGAAAAGACAGUAAUUUGACUGCUUCUGCUCUGAACCACUGUUUUCGGCAGCCAUUGAAUGUUGCACUUUGCAAUGUUCAGAAGUUGAGAUUAUUCAGUGAUUCCUGUUUUGGACAAAACAAAAAUGUGAAUGUUCUGUCAAUGCUGUUUGCUUUAACGAAGCAGAAUUGUCCUAAUAUGAUCACGGAAUAUGUGUUUCCCAUCAGGGGACACAGUUUCCUUCCUGUUGACCGCGUUUUCGGGAGGAUUGAGCAGCAGAUUCGAAAGCACAAUACCAUCCUCAUGCCAGAAGAGUACUAUGACAUUUUGAGGAACCAUGGACAUGUCCAUGUCUACGGCCAGGACUGGCAAGCUUAUGAUUUCAAGGCAGCAGCACAGGUUUUUGUAAAGCCACAGAAGUCAUUCAAGCUCAGUGAUGCUAGAAUGCUGGAACUCAGGAAUGACAAACUUGGAUUCAAGACUGUGUACAACAGUGACUUCUGCUAUCACUCUGUUUUGAAGCGAGGACAGAACUGGGCAAACUUCAAGCCGAGUCAGCUCCCAAAUGUAAGCACAGUGAAGGAUGCAAAAAGAAAGGAUGUGCUUAACUUGCUUGCUGAAAUUGGUGCCAGUGACACUGUGCGUGCCUUCUAUGAUGGAGCACUCAUUGUAAAUGAUGCCGACCGUGACAGCCCUGAAGAAUAAUUCUGCCGAUUGUGCCUUUUGAGUUCACUGUUUCAGUGCAUAAUAAGUGUGUGUGAACACGUGUGUGUGAGAAAGACCUGAGCAAACAGGAGGAGGAGUUAAGUGAGUGCGGAGAAAGUCUGUGUGUGGUUGGGUGUGUCUAGAUAAUGGCACUUCACAAUGGCACUGAAUUGUAG